rnacentral:lncRNA from 1 species
CUCAGUAGCUCUGCAGUGCGUCUCACCUGUCAGGCAAACGGUUUUCAAUGACUUUGGACUUGGCUUCCUAUUGCUGGUCUAAAUAAAAACUUACUGACUGAAGACAACACAAGUUUAUCCCGUUAACAGUUCUCGAGGGCAGAAGUCCCAAAUCAGUUUCCAGAGGCCACAAAUCAAGGUGUGAGCAGGACCCUGCUCCCUCAGAGGCGCUGGGGAAACUCCUGCUCACUCUGCAGCCUCUACGACUGCAUCACUUGGCUUGGGCCCUUCCCCCAGCUGUGACGGUCACAGCUCCUCUGCCUCUUACUCAUAAGGAUCCUCGUGAUUGCACGAGGCACAUCUGGAUAAUCGAGACUCAUCACCCCCCUCUCCGCAUCUUCCCGAAUCGCACCUUCAACAUUCUGGUGCCGCACAAUGGGACGUCCACCAGCUCCAGGGAUCAGGAGCUCUUUAUCUAUGGGGCCACAUUCAACCAAGCACCACACACUGAGCACGUGUGUGGGAGGUUCCGGGGGAGAAACAGAAGGAGAGGAACCGAGUGUAUGAGGAGUUCCCACUGUGGCGCCGUGGAAACGAAUCCGACUAGCAACCACGAGGUUGCGGGUUCGAUUCCGACCUUGCUCAGUGCGUUAAGGAUCCUGUGUUGCUGUGGCUGUGGUGGAGGCUGGCAGCUGCAGCUCCAAUUUGACCCCUAGACUGGGACCCUCCAUGUGUCUCCAUGGGGCCCUACAAAGAAAAAAAGAAAGUGUCCCGAACAGUGGUGGGGACACUGUGAAGCAGUUCCUCUGCCUGGCAGUUCCUCUGCCUGGUGUUCUCCCUGUGGGCCCCUGCCUGGGAGCCCGGCGUGGCCUUUUAUCUUCAGUCUGGGCACCCACACAACACCGCCAACCACUUCAACGUUACACUCACAAUGCUGUGCAACCAUCACCUGUCUAGUUCCAGAACCUGCUCAGCCUCCAGAGGAGGGCCCGUCACCCUCCCUGCCUCCUCCCCCGGCCCCUGGAAACCACUGACCCUCCCGCCUGUCCAUGUGGACCUGUGGCCCCGGGGAUUUCAUGCAACUAUAACCCUGACCCCGAGCGUGUGCUCAGUUCGGCUUGUUACUCGUUACUCGAGACUCACGCUGUCCUCCUGAGGCUGGAAACAGCUGCAGGGACAGACAACCCGGCCUGUCUGCCCCUUGUCUGUUGUGGGGACCUGGGUCACCCCCACCUUCUGGCUACUGGGACCACCGGAACCUACACAAGCCUGAGUCCCUGCUCCCGCGCUCCCGGGUGUGCCUCUGGGAGUGGGUCCUGUGCCCACAGGCUAAGCUGGGGAGAAACCGCCAGGCGCCUUUCCCCUGCAGCUGCUCGGAGUCCUCCGGGCCCUCACCAGCACUUAGCGUCUCAACGGCUCUCUCCCCUUCCUCGCUCCCCUCGUGUCUCUUAAAAUUAGGCCCAUGCUGCUUGCUGCUGCCUUGCUUUUAACCCAGAAUCCAGGACGAGAACAGGAUGUCACUCCCCAAACCAAUGACGGGAUCCUGCUAGGAGAGCCCCUCCCUCACCGGCUCUGCCGGGGCCACCUUGUGGGCCCCUUGGCGAGGCUGCAAAGCCACCCAGGCUGGGCGAGUUGGGGAGGACCCUCCGGGGACAGCCUCGGAGGAGGCGCACCUGAGACGCCAACGCUCAGAAAUCGUGGGACGUACACGUCUCGUCCUAAGCAGGUGGGGCUGUGGUAGUGACUUCCACAGGUCAGGAGAGCAGAGGCCUGGCAGGACAGGGACGCUGCGGCGACGGAGGCUCCCGGCGUGGCGCUCUGGAGCCGGCUGCACACGCCGGGUUGGCUUCCCCGUCUCUACAGUGUUUGCACGCUCUUCUGCAGAGAGGCUGGACUUUGGUGGGGGCUCGGAAAGGGGUCCAGGACAAGUACUGCACUGAAACGUAUCACCUCAUCCCAUCACUGCACCACUACAGACACAGUAACACUGCACUGUUACUGGAAGGUGCUAAGAGUAGCGCUUAGAAGCUCCCAUCAUGGCGUUCCCGUCAUGGUGCAGUGGUUAUUAAUGAAUCCCUGUAGGAACCAUGAGGUUGCGGGUUCGAUCCCUGCCCUUGCUCAUAGGUUGCAGACACGGCUCGGAUCCUGCGUUGCUGUGGCUCUGGCCAGCGGCUACAGCUCCGAUUCCACCCCUAGCCUGGGAACCUCCAUAGGCAGCAAGUGCGGCCCAAGAAAUGGCAAAAAGACAAAAAAAAAAAAAAAAAAAAAAAAGCUCUCAUCACAAGAAAAAAAUCACUGGAGUUCCCAUCGUGGCGCAGUGGUUAACAAUCCGACUAGGAACUAUGAGGAUGCGGGUUCAAUCCCUGACCUUGCUCAGCAGGUUAAGGAUCCAGCGUGGCCGUGAGCUGUGGUGUAGGUCACAGACACGGCUCGGAUCCUGCGUGGCUGUGGCUCUGGUGCAGGCCAGCGGCUAUAGCUCCAAUUCGACCCCUAGCCUGGGAACCUCCACAUGCUGCAGGAGCGUCCGUAGAAAAGACAAAAAAAGAAAAAAAAAUCACUCUAUUAUGUAUACUGAACACCUGAAACAAAGAGUAUUUGUCAAUUACCUUUCACUAGAAACUUAUAAAAGGCCUCUGGGGUCCACCCGUCUCUUGGCUUGGACCGUGAGGACUACAGCCCCAACCCCAUGGGCCCGCUGUAGAGAGGUCAGGCAGGCCAGGCUGCUUGGGGUGACAGGGGGAAGGGAGCAGCCCAGGAGGGGAAACGGGAAGAGCAGAGAGCAGAAAUCAUUAGAGAACGGUGGGUGCUCAGGAAAGAGAGCCACACCAGGGAAACCCUGGACCUGCCUGGGAGCUCCCAGGUGCCCCCAGGGGAGGGGGGAUGCCCUGGGCCAGGGGCCACUGGCCCCCAGUGACAGACUUUGUGCGGGGCCCUGUGUGCAUAGCCUCCUGUGCAGGAGAGGCCUGGGGCUGUGGGAGGGGAGGAGGGGUUGUGGCGGGCCUGUGCAGCAGCGGUAAAGGAGCACACUGCCAGCAACCACUCCUCCCUUCCCACGGCCUCAGCAGCACGAGGGCCAUCAGCAUGGCCCCUGAGCUGGAACCCUGCUCCAGGGAGUCACGCAGCAUCUCAGCUCCCAGCCCAGUUCGAGGGACCCUCUCCUGCCGCCCCCACUGCGGCUCUCAGUGUGCUUCGAACCAGCAGCCCAGAGAAGAUGUGACAUUCUUGGAGGCAAUACGGGCUACAGAGUGAAUGAUCCUUGCAAACACCACGCUCCUAAGAGAAGGUGGUGACUGCCGAGGAAGGAGCUUAGCGGUUGCCUAGGGCUGGCGCCAGAGGGCUGAGGGAGUGACUGCUUGUGGGGAUGGGGUUUGGGGGUGAUGAAAACGG